rnacentral:rRNA from 1 species
AUUGAACGCUGGCGGCAGGCCUAAUACAUGCAAGUCGAGCGGAGCGGCGGACGGGCGAGUAAUGCCUAGGAAUCUGCCCGGUAGUGGGGGUUAACGUCCGGAAAGGGGCGCUAAUCCCGCAUCCUUCCAGAUGUCCCUAGGGUGGAUUAGCUAGUUGGUGGGGUAAAGGCUUACCAAGGCGACGAUCCGUAGCUGAUCUGAGAGGGUGAUCGGUCACACUGGAACUGAGACACGGUCCAGACUCCUACGGGAGGCAGCAGUGGGGAAUAUUGGGCAAUGGGCGAAAGCCUGAUCGAGCCAUGCCGCGUGUGUGAAGAAGGUCUUCGGAUUGUAAAACACUGUUAGUUGGGAAGCGGUACCAACAGAGAAAGCACCGGCUAACUUCGUGCCAGCAGCCGCGGUAAUUC